CAACCCUAGUUACUGUUCUCUUUACAUAUAUUCUCCCAUUGCAACCAAAGUUCUAUGAAGAAUUCUCAAUACUCAACUCACAUCCCUUUGCACCUCCCUCCACCUCAGUCCUCAUUCCUCAUCUAAUGGUGCUUUGUUCCCGCACCCCUCUGUUGAAAUGAACCCCAUCAAAACCAACAGCCACCCCUUUGUCCCAUUUAUAGAUCAAGAGUGUUAAAAUGAACAUCUAUAUGGAGACAAAGCUUCCCCCGCAAUGACAAAAUUCAGUUGCUUUUGUAUAGACAAAGAUUAUAUUGCAAUGCUAUAUUUACCUAAAAGCUAGCAUUGUAAAAUAGCUUCCAUAAGAGUCAGUCAGAUAACGUGAAGGCUGUGCUACAGGAACUGUGCUAUCAGUUGAAGUACAACAUUUCCCCAACAUAUCCCAUACUAUUGCUUCAAUAAAAGGAAUUUUGCAAAUAGAUUUACUGCAUGUUAGCAAUAUUUUUAUGAUCACUUCAAUAAAUUCUGUUUAUUGUUUUAUUUCUUUCUGAAGGAAUUACUAAGUAUGCAAUGUAAUCGCC
rnacentral:lncRNA from 10 species